rnacentral:rRNA from 17 species
GGGUUGUGAGGUUAAGCGACUAAGCGUACACGGUGGAUGCCCUGGCAGUCAGAGGCGAUGAAGGGCGUGCUAAUCUGCGAUAAGCGCCGGUAAGGUGAUAUGAACCGUUAUAACCGGCGAUACCCGAAUGGGGAAACCCAGUGUGACUCGUCACACUAUCAUUAACUGAAUCCAUAGGUUAAUGAGGCGAACCGGGGGAACUGAAACAUCUAAGUACCCCGAGGAAAAGAAAUCAACCGAGAUUCCCCCAGUAGCGGCGAGCGAACGGGGAGGAGCCCAGAGCCUGAAUCAGCAUGUGUGUUAGUGGAAGCGUCUGGAAAGGCGCGCGAUACAGGGUGACAGCCCCGUACACAAAAGCGCAUGUGCUGUGAGCUCGAUGAGUAGGGCGGGACACGUGGUAUCCUGUCUGAAUAUGGGGGGACCAUCCUCCAAGGCUAAAUACUCCUGACUGACCGAUAGUGAACCAGUACCGUGAGGGAAAGGCGAAAAGAACCCCGGCGAGGGGAGUGAAAAAGAACCUGAAACCGUGUACGUACAAGCAGUGGGAGCACAGGUUUACCUGUGUGACUGCGUACCUUUUGUAUAAUGGGUCAGCGACUUAUAUUCUGUAGCAAGGUUAACCGAAUAGGGGAGCCGGAGGGAAACCGAGUCUUAAUUGGGCGUUAAGUUGCAGGGUAUAGACCCGAAACCCGGUGAUCUAGCCAUGGGCAGGUUGAAGGUUGGGUAACACUAACUGGAGGACCGAACCGACUAAUGUUGAAAAAUUAGCGGAUGACCUGUGGCUGGGGGUGAAAGGCCAAUCAAACCGGGAGAUAGCUGGUUCUCCCCGAAAGCUAUUUAGGUAGCGCCUCGUGAAUUCAUCUCCGGGGGUAGAGCACUGUUUCGGCUAGGGGGCCAUCCCGGCUUACCAACCCGAUGCAAACUGCGAAUACCGGAGAAUGUUAUCACGGGAGACACACGGCGGGUGCUAACGUCCGUCGUGAAGAGGGAAACAACCCAGACCGCCAGCUAAGGUCCCAAAGUCAUGGUUAAGUGGGAAACGAUGUGGGAAGGCCCAGACAGCCAGGAUGUUGGCUUAGAAGCAGCCAUCAUUUAAAGAAAGCGUAAUAGCUCACUGGUCGAGUCGGCCUGCGCGGAAGAUGUAACGGGGCUAAACCAUGCACCGAAGCUGCGGCAGCGA